GUCCAACCUUUUGGGCAGAGGUGCUUUUAAAAAUAAUAAUGAGGGCAUUUUAAACCACCAAGGGAAAUUUCUGACCACAUUGAAUGUGAAACUUCGGAUUUUUCAAACCAAUUACAUUAGUUUUCCCCCAAGAGCUAAAAAGGAGGGGCUCCCUCCCCAACUGGAGGGCGGUUCCAGGCGUAGCACAGCUGGGGCGGGUGGCGGCGAGGCCAAGCCCUCUGCAAACCACCUACGAUUUUAUCUUACAACCUGAAUGAAGCUUCAGGAAAGGAGUACUGCAUCUUGAAGCCAGACAAGAAGCCCUGAAGGGGAGAGGACAGGGGAGUGAGGAGGGAGGGGGGGAAACUGGGAAACAAGAAAUCAUCUCCUCUGACCUCUAGCGAAGUGCCAGGUUUUUUCUUUAGCUCUUCACAUUUUCUAAAUUUGCAGAUCUGGUGUCCCGUUUUGCGGUUCCUGCAACUGCUGCAGACGCCACAGUUGAUGAGCCUCUUGCAGGGCACGCAGACCCCACACCUUUUCCUCUUCUUCUUGGCCGGGUUGGCUCCGCCAGCUCCCCCUGAGGAGGACGAGGAGGAGGAGGAAUGAUUCUGCGGGCAGUCUGCCAGAUUGGCAAUUUGAAACGCACUGUCUGUGACGGCUGCUGAGGCUGCUGCGGGGGAGUGAAGGGCUGUCAUGACGAUGACCCCUGGAGCUGAGACUUAAUCUCAGGCUUUGAACCCCUCACAUGCUGAGACUCAGUGCUGGCUUGGACUCCUCCUGCUCCCCGCCCCACGAACGAUGGCUUAUCUGGUAAGAUCAUGCACCUUGGUUGGAAGGUUCUAAUGCCACCUUCAUGCGUGAGGAGACUUGAGGAACAAGGAAAGGGCAAUGGAACAAGAGAACAAAUACAAGCCAUUCUGAGGGCACCUGAGCCAGGUCUUCAGCUGACUUCCUGUGGGGAUGCUGCAGUCUCAUUCAGAAGGAGCUGCCAUGGAGGAGAGGGGACACCAAUCCUGCCCACGUGUUCACCACCAACUAUGACUGAGCCGCCCACACCUCCACUCUCAGCCUCCCUCCCCGGCCUAUUGCAGAGUGUGCUUUGA
rnacentral:lncRNA from 1 species